GGAGGGGUGGCAGAGUGGUUGAAUGCGGCGGUCUCGAAAACCGUUUAGCCCCUCGGGGCUACGAGGGUUCGAAUCCCUCCUCCUCCGCCA
rnacentral:tRNA from 3 species